CAAUAAGUAGUUUAUUUAAAAUAUUAUAUUUGGAUUAUAAAGAUUAUUAUUGU
rnacentral:tRNA from 1 species